UACGUAGGGUGCAAGCGUUAAUCGGAAUGACUGGGCGUAAAGGGUGCGCAGGCGGUCUGCUAAGACAGAGGUGAAAGCCCCGGGCUUAACCUGGGAAUGGCCUAUGUGACUGGCAGGCUGGAGGAUGGCAGAGGGAGGCGGAAUGCCACGUGUAGCAGUGAAAUGCGUAGAGAUGUGGCGGAACACCGAUGGCGAAGGCAGCCUCCUGGGCCAAUCCUGACGCUCAGGCACGAAAGCGUGGGGAGCGAACAGG
rnacentral:rRNA from 1 species